CCUUAGCCAUGGAUAGUCACUCCGCGGUGACGAUGGAGGCCGGUGCACCAACGAGGAAGGAGUCCGGGCGGCUUCCUGCGCGGUACGGCGGGAACGCGCACGGCCACAGCGGCCUCGCCCGGACGGCGCAUGGCAUGUCCUCCUCCUCGCUGCGGAAGAAGUCGGACGCCACGCUGGUGCGCAAGGUGCCCGUCGCCUCGCUGCGCCCUGUUCUCGCCAACCUCCAGGAGAUCCUCCUCGGCACCAAGCUCGCCGUCCUCUUCGUCGCCGUGCCGCUCGCCGUCGUCGCGCAGUGCUUCCACUUCGGCCAGGUAUAAAUUCACCAUACAGCACACCAUGUUUUCUGUACUCUUUUUGUCUCGAUAUGUGCAUGCAUGCUACUGCUCAACAUCUUCGCUUCGGCUUGACCAUUCCCUUGGAUUUAUUCUACCUUCCCAUCCACGAUGCUCUUCUCUUUCGCUUCCUAACACUGUGGUGAUCAGGUGUCAGAUUGUGAUUACUACUAUCCAAGCCUGCCUACCUGCCGAUCCUUAACUACACUUGUCCCUUGCAAGCUGUUCUCUAAAGCAGUACUACCUCAAUUGGGCUCGUCGUGUCACCGACACAUAGGGGCACAGCACACAGACUGGCACGCACGAGAGCAUAACUUCUGCACUCGUUCAAUAAACUUCAACUACUUUUCGUAGAACACAUUUAUGUGCGACUGAGUAUAAAGUGGCAAACAACUUCGAGUUUCAAAUCGAUUGCUCACGUCAAGUCAGCAAUUUUAAUGGUGUUGACAGCCUCUACAUAUGCUCUUCGUGGCCAAAACCAUCGGUCGUCAGGUUUUAGAAAUUUUACCUUCACUUUCUUCAGUCGUCCGAUCUUGUUUUCUCGCUGCGCACAGCCUUGGGGAUCAUCCCUGGCGAAUUGGUUGCUGAUGUAGGAGGAGUGAGGUCGCCGUGAAGCAUUGUUAAACUUAUACUACUACUCUAGUGCGAGCUUUAGUAACUCUCUUGUGUAAAAAUGAAAGAGGUUUAGUGACGGACAGUAAUGCUUCCCAAAACGUGGGGCUGCACGGCCUGGAGUACUCUAGGAAGAUGGCGUACUUUGCCGAGCGAGUGCCAUCCCUUAAACCUUGCUGCGACUAACAGCCAAAUGUGCACCGCAAGACAAGAGUAGACGACAAACUUGUGCGUCCACAGCGGCUAAGACGAUGACGGAAACAUCCCUGCUUGGGCUUGGGUGUUCACAAGGUGGCAUUUGUGAUCAGCUGGGUGGUUCUUUUCCCCCAAGAAGAGUCCAUUUUGGUACUUUGCCCUGUGGAGUAUAGCUUCACGAGUUUGGCAUGGAUACUCUGUAAAAGAAUAUACAAAUGUUUACAUCAGUACUUUAAUAAUUUAAAUGCUCUUAUACUUUUUUACGGAGAGAGAGUAUUAGAAAUGAACAUGUGCGUCCUUUAUAUAUUGGAAAAGAUUACGGCGGGAAGCCAAAGUCACGAGUGCAAGGCACUGAGAAAUGCUCCCACAAUUUUGCCUCGGUACGUUUUCGGUGCAAACACAAAAUCUAAAACGUGUCCACGUUAUCGUAAGUAGCCAGCAAUUGUUGAUGUGUUAUAAUUUUAUUUUUAUUUUUGGCUAAAUAGAAUGAAAAAUGGAUCUGAAUGGGCAGGUAUGGGUGUUUGCGCUUAGUCUGAUCGGCCUCAUUCCUCUGGCUGAGCGAGUCAGCUUCCUGACAGAGUAAGCAUUUGCUCCUCUUGUUAUCAAAAUUCCCUUUUACGGGAUGCUUUAACUUUAGCUUUGAUUGAGUUCUGGAUUUGCUUAACAUGAAUCCCGUUUUCUUUCUGGUAUGGUAUGGUAAUUCUUGUAGGCAGAUUGCCCUCUACACUGGCCCCACAAGUAAGUAACGCCUAACCAUCGCAAACUAUAUUCUAUUCCCUUUGUUUUAAAAUAAGUGUCUCAAGAAGAGUAUUACUCCUACAUAGUAUUUCUAUCUCGCCGGCCGGAAGCAUGUGUUGUUAAUUAGUCGGCUUGUGGUUGCAGUUGGCGGUCUCCUGAACGCGACGUGCGGCAACGCCACGGAGCUGAUCAUCGCCAUGUUCGCGCUGGUGCAAGGGAAGAUCGAGGUGGUGAAAUGCUCGCUGCUCGGCUCCGUGCUCUCCAACCUGCUUCUCGUCCUUGGCACCUCGCUCUUCUGUGGCGGUAUCAAGAACCUCGGGGCCAACCAGCCCUACGACCG
rnacentral:lncRNA from 1 species